UUGCAGAGAAAGUUGUUUUUUUUGUUUGUUUGUUUUUUUUAAAAAGUCACUGAGAUCAAAGGAUGCUCUCCUCUUUGACCUAUGAACACUCAAUCAAGGAAAAGCCAUGGCAUGCUUCAUGCUCUGUGGCCACUGUUACAAUCUUCUUUUCUGGCAGGAACAGACAUAUAAUAAACUAGGCAAUAAAUCUGCACAAGUGGCACAAAGCAGUUAGACAACAGUGCUCAGAGGCAGGCAGCUACAAUCUGUGCUGUGACUGGAAGGGGACUGAAGGACAGAAAGAGGGGGAAAUAAAUGGGAAGUAAGCGGUAACUGAGGUCACGGUGGUCCUCUGCCUACAUGGACAAUGUCAUCAGAUGACAGCUUGGAUAGAAAUGCUUGGCAGAACCAAGGUAGGCAGGUUGUAUUUAAUACCCAUUAGCCAAUGUGACUCUAGGAAUCUGGACACUGGGUUCUCACUCUAGAUUUCCCACUAUUUAGUGGUAUGGAAUAUCAAAGGCAUGUGAUUCUACAAAAUGGAAUUCUUAUAUGUACAAGGAAAAGAAAACAGCCCUUUUAUUUAUUUUAUGAAUAAAAAUUCCAUAUGAAUAUUAUAUGAAGUUAGCAUGAUAAGAAGUAAGACGUAUUCUAUAGUGUGUGUGAAGGGGGAGGUACGUGUGCACAUGUCCCAGUGUGUGGAAACCCGAGACCAAUGUUGGAUGUUUUCCUCAAUUACUCUCCAUUUUAUGUUUGAGACAGGGUCGUUCUCUGAACCUGGAGCUUAGUGACACAGCUAAAAUGGCUAGUCAAGAGCUGCAGGGGUCUGCCUGUCUGUGUCCCAUACCCUCUCCCCACGAGGAGGAUCCCCAGCCUCGUCCUGAAGUUUGCUCCUAAUGCAUGGACUUUAUUGACCAGCCCUGGUGGAAUUGAAAGGAGAAGAAGAACGCGUAGGAGCACUUGCCCAGUGGCAAACCGUAGAGAUCGUGUAAGACAAAACCAGAAAAGAAUACUGGAAGGAACGAGAAAAGAAAGAAGAGAUGAAAGACACUGAAAAACAAGUGCCAAAAAGAAUCCCUUCAAAUAAACGAGACAGAUUUACAUUUUACAACCAGAAAGCUUGGAUCAUACCUAAUCCUCCGCCAAAACCAACUCUAAAGGCUGACAAGCUUCCUGCAGACAACUUCUACUCAACCCUGAAAAGACAAAGCUGAGGAGCCUCAUUGUCCAUCACGCCAUCUCCACUGGGAACAUGGUCAGCCCUAGCUGUGGGGCAGCAGGAGCCCUGCAGGGCUGACAGAGAUGUACUUGAAGGCAGGACUUCUCUCUGCAACAGAUGCAGAUCACUACAGAAAACCACUAUGGAUCAAAAUGCCUGUUCCCAGCGGACGCAUCUACAACACAACUCCUGCACCCAAGGCUCAGAGGUGGAAAGAUUAUAAGAGCUAAAAGAACAGGUAGGUAGUUUGCUGUAAGAUUUUUCCUCCUAGGAACACAAGAGAAAGUACCCCGAGGAAGUCUGACAAAAAUGGCUGGCUAGACAUGACCUGAACAAGGAAGACACCCACUAUGCCUUGGAGGAAGACAGAAGCUCAGGAGGCCUCAUCCCCAGACAAAGAACUGUGCAACUAAGGAAUGCAACGAAAGUGGAAAAUCGGUCUUCCCCAGGAAAAGCAUAACUGUUUCUGCAAUAGCAAAUGGUCGGUCAUCCCUGAAGGCUGGAUGGGGCAGUAACUUAGGGCUAGAGGGAUGACUGCGCAGUUAGAACACUGGCUGGUGUAGCAGAGGAGCUGGGCUCAGUUCCCAGCAUCAUGGCAGCUCCUAACUGUCUGUACUCCAGCUCCAGGGGUCCGAUGCCCACUUCUGGCUAUCUGCAGGACAAAGUACCCACAGGACGUACUGACAUAUAUUUGUGCAAACACUCAUGCACAUAAAAUAAGUAAAUCUAAAACAAAAAGAGAGAAAAAGAGAGACCCAGUGAUGCACUGUCAACGUGAAUUGUUUGCCUGAAAUUAGAACCCAACAUUUCAUCAUCAUAACUAUGUAAGAAACUAACUUCUUUUCAUUUUAGUCAAGUUACCUUAGGUUUGUUAAAUUUGCUGCCUACUGAAAAUAAAGUUAAUACCAAUCAAUACCAUUAGAAAGCUAUAGUCCUGUCAUAAACAUGUCAAUUGUAUAAGCAAAGUAAAUGUUGAAGACAGAAAUCUUCAAAUAGGCUAAGGUUGCUACGUCACUGGUUCACCUGCUUAUAAAACUCCACACUCAUCCGUGUCGGAUAAUGUGACUUCCUCACAUAAUCACACUCACAAAAUCACACUCACAUAAUCACACUCACAAAAGGCUACUUCUAAAAAUGUCAGAACG